rnacentral:rRNA from 1 species
UCUGGUUGAUCCUGCCGGUAAUCAUAUGCUUGUCUCAAAGACUAAGCCAUGCAUGUCUAAGUAUAAAUAACUACAUAGUAAAACUGCGAAUGGCUCAUUACAACAGUUAUUGUUUAUUUGAUACAUCAAAUGGAUAACUGUAGAAAAACUAGAGCUAAUACAUGCUAAGGCCGCAAGGUCGUAUUUAUUAGAUAUUCCGAUAAGGUGAAUCAUAAUAACUUCGCAAAUCUCGUCUAUGAUGAGAUAAAUCAUCCAAGUUUCUGCCCUAUCAUGCUUUCGUUGGUAGUGUAUUGGACUACCAUGGCUCUCACGGGUAACAGGGAAUUAGGGUUCGAUUCUGGAGAAGGAGCCUGAGAAACGGCUACUACAUCUACGGAAGGCAGCAGGCGCGUAAAUUACCCAAUCCUGACUCAGGGAGGUGGUGACAAGAUAUAACAACGUGAUUUUUAAUCUCGAUUGUAGUGAGGGUUUUCUAAAUAGAACCUAUAGUACGAUUAGAGGGCAAGUCUGGUGCCAGCAGCCGCGGUAAUUCCAGCUCUAAUAGCGUAUAUUAAAGUUGCUGCAGUUAAAAAGCUC